UACGUAGGGGGCAAGCGUUAUCCGGAAUUACUGGGUGUAAAGGGUGUGUAGGCGGCAAAGUAAGCCAUAUGUGAAAGGCAGGGGCUCAACCCUUGGACUGCAUAAGGAACUACUUAGCUAGAGUACAGGAGAGGUAAGCGGAAUUCCUAGUGUAGCGGUGAAAUGCGUAGAUAUUAGGAGGAACACCAGUGGCGAAGGCGGCUUACUGGACUGGUUACUGACGCUGAGACACGAAAGCGUGGGGAGCGAACAGG
rnacentral:rRNA from 1 species